rnacentral:rRNA from 1 species
UGGGGAAUAUUGCACAAUGGGGGAAACCCGUAGAUGCAGCGACGCCGCGUGAGUGAAGAAGUAUUUCGGUAUGUAAAGCUCUAUCAGCAGGGAAGAUAAUGACGGUACCUGACUAAGAAGCCCCGGCUAACUACGUGCCAGCAGCCGCGGUAAUACGUAGGGGGCGAAGCGUUAUCCGGAUUUACUGGGUGUAAAGGGAGCGUAGGUGGCAGGGCAAGUCAGAUGUGAAAUGCCGGGGCUCAACCCCGGAACUGCAUUUGAAACUGUCCGGCUGGAGUGCAGGAGAGGUAAGUGGAAUUCCUAGUGUAGCGGUGAAAUGCAUAGAUAUUAGGAGGAACACCAGUGGCGAAGGCGGCUUACUGGACUGUAACUGACACUGAGGCUCGAAAGCGUGGGGAGCAAACAGGAUUAGAUACCCUGGUAGU